UACAGGGGGGGCAAGCGUUGUUCGGAAUUACUGGGCGUAAAGGGCACGUAGGUGGCCAACUAAGUCAGACGUGAAAUCCCUCAGCUUAACUGGGGAACUGCGUCUGAUACUGGAUAGCUUGAGUUUGGGAGAGGGAUGCGGAAUUCCAGGUGUAGCGGUGAAAUGCGUAGAUAUCUGGAGGAACACCGGUGGCGAAGGCGGCAACCUGGACCAACACUGACACUGAGGAGCGAAAGCCAGGGGAGCAAACGGG
rnacentral:rRNA from 1 species